UGGGGAAUUUUGGACAAUGGGGGAAACCCUGAUCCAGCCAUCCCGCGUGUGCGAUGAAGGCCUUCGGGUUGUAAAGCACUUUUGGCAGGAAAGAAACGUCAUGGGUUAAUACCCCGUGAAACUGACGGUACCUGCAGAAUAAGCACCGGCUAACUACGUGCCAGCAGCCGCGGUAAUACGUAGGGUGCAAGCGUUAAUCGGAAUUACUGGGCGUAAAGCGUGCGCAGGCGGUUCGGAAAGAAAGAUGUGAAAUCCCAGAGCCCAACUUUGGAACUGCAUUUUUAACUACCGGGCUAGAGUGUGUCAGAGGGAGGUGGAAUUCCGCGUGUAGCAGUGAAAUGCGUAGAUAUGCGGAGGACCACCGAUGGCGAAGGCAGCCUCCUGGGAUAACACUGACGCUCAUGCAAGAAAGCGUGGGGAGCAAACAGG
rnacentral:rRNA from 1 species